rnacentral:lncRNA from 1 species
UUUGUUCAUCUCUGUUAGCUCUAUGUUAACCUUCUUUUAGUUACUUCCCAUGAUUUUCUUUGUAAGAAACCCCAGAAAUAUAUAUAGGCGUAUUUUCCCGUGAAGAUGCUAAAUUUUGUUGGUCUUAUUUAUGGGAUAGCGAAACCAUUUUUGUGUGCACUUAAUUUUCAGGUUGGACGCGCCGGGUGUGGGGACACUGCAGGACAUGUUUGAUUAUCAUGUCAGUGAAUUCUGGCGAGAAUGAACCAAGUGAGCUUUUGUAGCUGGUCUAUUCAAAAUGGAUGAACGGACCAGUUAGUGUACAUAUAAGUUUGCACUCUGUCUUCCUGCUCAUUCGUGCAAUGUGUUCAUGGGAGACUUAUUUUAGGAAAACAUAAAAUAAUCUUUCUUUCUGUGCGUACUACUCUAGCUUUCAAGUGCCAGGCUUCAAUAAAUCUGAAAUUUCUAUCGCUCGAUUUGCAGUGUUUAUUUUACGGUUACCACUGGGAAAUGCUUCCUUUUAAUCAUUUUUAUCUGGUACACACCAUUGUAAGUGUAUUAUUUAAGAAAUCAGGUCCAUUCUGGAAGAAUAUUCACUCAUGAUAGUUUUGAGUUUCGGUAAAGCAGAAUGUGUACAUUCAUUUUAAAAUUGUCCAAUGGAUCAUAGUUUGUUCCGCGUAAAAGAAAAUGAUGCUUACAAAAAAUUAUGCUCGAUUAGGAUGUAACGAUGAGUGAUGCUACUUGGGAUGAUGCUCAAUUAGGUAGAGGACACAUCAAUGGUGGGGUAGCCGUAGGCAUAGCUAAUAGGUGGAGUAGGAGAAGAUGUACAUAUGAUGGUGAUGUGAGCACAUACAUAGGAGUGAAGCUAGCGAAGAUACAACAAGCUUGCUGCGAGAAGAGGAAUGGAAGAGGAUUUGGAGGAGAGGAGAUGGGGGCCAUGGUAUAAAUUUAGAGGAUUAGGAAAAGGGUGUGCACAUGAUGGCGAAAUGAUAUGGAGUAAGCAAAUGAUAGAACAAUGGCGUAGCCGAAUGUGACGAGGGGGCGGGGGAAACCGGUCAAGAUGGCGUCGAGGUGAUAGGAACCAUGGUGGAAUUGUGUCGGAGUAGUAGAAGUUACUCACAUGACAAUGUAAUGACAUGGUGGCUUCAGAGAAUCUGAUGAGCAAAAGAACAUGGAGAAAGAUUAUAGCUUGUAUUCAAUAACAUGUGUGACAUAGAUAAAGAGAGUUAAAUGAAACAUAUAUUUGAUUGAUGAUUACAUUGGUUUGUUAUUCUGUAGCAACAUGUUUAUAUGAACUAUUUUACCAAUGAGAAUGCUAGAGCAGGGUCAUGUGAAGGAAGACUACUAAUAGAAUAAUAAAUUAUUUUUUUUAAAAGGUGGAGAAAUUGGAUCUGCCUUCUUUCGGGGAGGGGGGCAUCAUGGGUGGUGCAUGCCUCCUCCCCUUGAUGGUGGUGGUGAAUUGGCACUAACACUGGGACGUGAUCAGGGCGGAGCACGGGGCGCUUGGCGGGGGACUCAUUGGCGGUCCGUGGAGAAGUACAGUGUUUGAAGAGAGGGUGUCAUGGUGAAGAUGAGUCAGGCAUCAUCCUGUUUUAAAGAAGAGGGCUCCAGUGAGAAAUGUCGAGUGAGAAGGGGAGGUUUUGCCAGGAAAACAUAAAGGCCCCUUGUGAAGUGGAGUUUUUUGUGUUGGAACCAUGUGUUAGAGAUAAGAAUAGAUUGGGUAACCAUAUUUCUCCCCAACUUAUGGGCUGGAUUUGGAGGAGCUUGGACUAUUGAGACUAUUGAAUUUUGGGGAGCCUGCUAUCGUCCGUUUGACGUCAGCAUAACAUACGAGGGAGCAAUGAGUUUCGAUCUUGAAGACGACGUUAAUCCUUUAACUGGUUCAUUUAUAUGCAUUGUAGCCCGUAGCGUGUGUGUGUGAAAUAGAUGGAUUAUAGUCCCGUACCCAAUAAUAUGGAUGUGUGUGUGUGUGUGUUAGAAAGAGAUAUGGGGAGAGAAAGUGAGGAAGAGGGAGGGAGAGAGUGUGUGAGGAUUUGAUGGUAAAAAAGAUCGCCAAUGUCACUUGAUAUGUAUGAAAAUAUUAAUAUUGAACUCUUAAAGUUAAUGUGGCCCCGUUGCAACGCACGAACGUUCUUUUAGUAUUAAUAAUAGAACACAUAGUCGGUACGUUUCCGGACAGCGUCGCCGGCGCAGCCGUGCCUCUGUCCUCGGCUCAACCCGGCAUGGAUGUCCAGAUAUGGUGGACAUCUUUCUGUACGGCUUGAUGGGUACUGCUCCCUGGCGGAACAGGCUUGAAUCCCUCUUAUUCGUCCCGGGCGGCACCGUUGUUUCUUAUUUUUUUAGGAGUCAAGGUUGUAUUCCUGAGGGGAGCAUACAUAUUAUCUUGAUUGAGUUGAUUUUUGGCUACUGUAUUACGGUUACAACUUACCAGCAACAUAGAAAUAGAGUCAUGUCUGAUAAGGUAUUCUGCUUCAGCUGUAUGCUUGCAGAGCAUUUGGUUUUUCCAUCCAAGUAUUACUAAACUCUACCAAGUUUUAUAAUGACACGGGAUAUGUACCGAGUAAUGAGUAUGUACAGAAGUUUUGGUACUUCGUUCUUGCAUGGAGGUGAGCAACAAUGGGCUGCAUGCUGGAAUUUUGUCUAUUUUGGGUCUAGCCCAAUAGCAGUUUCAGAAAUUCCUAAUAAAUUCUAGAGGCCCACUUAGCUCAUUUAUGCAAGGCAAGGGAUACUACUAAAGUUUAGUCCCACGUUGCUAGUUAAGUGGGAGUUGGACCUCCUUAUAAGAGAAGUUUUUUCCCUACUUGUAUGAGCAUGAAAACAAGAGGGAUAUCCAUGCACGCUCCUCCUCUGCCGCCCGCCACGCCAAGCCACGACGCGACGCGCCGCGGGUUGCGGGAAUGAGGCGAGCCAAUGUCUAUUACGAAAGUGGAGUUCCAAUGCGAUGAAGAUGAUGUUUAUCUUCUCCUUGUCAAUUCACAUGGCUUGUUUUAUCACUACUAUUUUAGUCAUACUUUAUCUAGUAUUUCCGUUAGCAAAAUUAUUUGGUAAAUUGCUUAUAUUUCCAACACUGCAAACGCGGCCGCCGCCCAUCACCUGCUAAAAUUCAAGCACAACCGUAGGCUGCCUUGAAUACUAGGAGUUGUCAAAGGUGAUGUCUUUUAGCUCGACCAUUUUUAUUGAUUUAGUUUCUAACAAUUUUGGGUAGCUCCCGUGGUGGCGCGCAUGGCCAGGUACGGCGUGCAGGCGAUUGGAUCUGGCGUGGGGGCGGCCAGGUGAGGGCGGAUCUGGCGCCGGCGAGGGCGAGGGCAUGGCGCGGCCUGCCGCGGAGGCGGCCAGGCGAGCGGAUCUGGCGCGCGUCCAGGGGCGAGCGGGCGUGGUGCGCGGCUUGGCCCGGUGGCGGCCAGGCGAGGGCGCGCGCGGGCCCAACCCGGGGUGGGCGUGGCCUGGCGCGGUGGCGGCCAGGCAAGGGCGCGUGGAGGUGCCUUGGAUUCAGGGCGGGCUGGCGGGGCGGCGCCCCUCCGGCGUGUGGCGGCCGGAUCUGGUCGAACCUGGCCAGAUCCGUGGUGUGUUUGACGCGCGCCGGCCCUGUGCACUGGUCCUAUGAUGCUGGAGCAGGCGGCUCCGGCCGUGAUAGAUGCGGGAUGCAGGGACUGAUCUGGUCAUUGUAGGCUCGCCGUGGGCGGGGUGGACCACGACUCCAUGGCUUCUACGACUAGGUUCUGCGGCGGUGGCGGUGCGAGACUGCAUGGACGAGCAUCUGUGGGCACGAGCGAAGGUGUGCUGCAAUACGGACGAAAGUCCUGCACGACCAGAGGCCGGUGGCGAUGGCGCCUGUGGGUGUCAUUUUCCUCCUUGGAGGCGUCACCUGAGGUGUGUCGGCAUCUUCCUCGUGCUCGGAUGGUGGUUUGUCUCUGGGCGAAAUCCUAGGUCCGGUGUUGGAUCGACGUGAUGGUGGCGUGUUUGACGUCGUUCCUCUGUUGGGAGCAUCACGUUUGGAGACACUUCCUGGAAGCUCUUUGCGGCGCUCCUCCGGUGCUCGCCGCUGUUCAAGGUGAAGCUCCAGGCGCAAUGUACAGCAUCAUUGAUGAGUCCAAGACGAAGCUCUUCCUGGGAUCGACCAAGUCCCGCCAUCUACCCCCUGCUUCCUGGGUGGAUGGUGCGUUGGCAAGAGAAGUUGUAGUGGGAGAUGCUACUGUCUUCGGAGGUGAUCGGCGUUGUUUGAGACGCGGUGGUGGUGCUUAGCUUAGGGCAGGUGCUUCGGUUGUGUAGUCAUGUUGUUUGUGGUGGGUGUAGCUCUUUGCAGCUAUUAGGGCCGCAUUUUUUUCUUUCUCUUUUUGAUCUUCGGAUCUUCACCAUGUUGUUCUUCCGCUGCUUUCUGCUAAAUCUGAAUCAAGCCAGCAAUUUACUGAAUCUUUCAAAAAAAACUUGGAAAGUUUCAUCCCUCAAGUUAAAUUGGCAAAAUCCAUUCGUUACUUACAGCAAAAAAUAUGGGCACUGUUCUUCCAAUUUUUAAUCACGUUCCUAGAAAUAUAGGUUUAAUGCUGGCUCUGCAAUGUUCCUAUUCAUAUGCAUGAUUUUGAACUGCUCUUUGUGCUCUUUCCUUCUUGCAGAACCAAUGUUUCCUCACGGGGAAGACAAUAACUUUUUUUGGUGCUCUACAUUUAAAUUUGGUGGUAAAGAUUUUGUGAUCCAGCCUCAUGACGCCUUGAGAAUGCUGAGAUCCGCCAUCAUGCUCUUCUCUGUUGCCGACUAUGACCUUCUGAUGCAUCCGGUCAACUUCGCCACAUGAUAUGUGUUUUGCUUGGAGCGUCAUUUUAGUUGAUUUAGCUUUGCUUGCUGUUUGAAUAAAAUACCAAGAUAUGAAAUUAUUAAAUGUUAGAGAGUCUUCACAUAGCUGCAUAAUUAUUCGACUACUCAUUGAUCUUCACUUAUAUCUUUCGGAGUAGUUUGUCGUUGCUCUAGUGCUUCACUUAUAUCCUUUUAGAGCACGGUGGUGGUUUUAUUUUAAAGAAAUAGAUGAAAUCUCGUGCUUCACUUAUAUUAUUUUGAGAGUCUUUAGAACAUCAUGGUAAUUUGCUUUGGUUAUGAAUUUAGUUCUAAUAUGAUGGGCAUCUAACAGGGAUAUAAUAAAAACUUCCAUAUGAAGUGCAUUGAAUACUAAGAGAAGUUUGAUACUUAAUGAUUGUUUUGAGAUAUGGAGAUAGUGAUACCAAAGUUGUGCUAGUUGGAUAGUUGUGAAUUUGAGAAAUACUUGUGUUGAAGUUUGCAAGUCCCGUAGCAUGCACGUAUGGUAAACGUUGUGUAAUAAAUUUGAAACAUGAGGUGUUAUUUGAUUGUCUUCCUUAUGAGUGACGGUCGGGGACGAGCGUCUUUUCCUACCAAUCUAUCCCCCUAGGAGCAUGCGCGUAAUACUUGGUUUUUGAUGACUUGUAGAUUUUUGCAAUAAGUAUGUGAGUUCUUUAUGACUAAUGUUGAGUCCAUGGAUUAUACGCACUCUUACCCUUCCCUCAUUGCUAGCCUCUUUGGUACCGUGCAUUGCCCUUUCUCACAUUAAGAGUUGGUGCAAACUUCGCCGGUGCAUCCAAACCCCGUGAUAUGAUAUGCUCUAUCACACAUAAACCUCCUUAUAUCUUACUCAAAACAGCCACCAUACCUACCUAUUAUGGCAUUUUCAUAGCCAUUCCGAGAUAUAUUGCCAUGCAACUUUCCACCAUUCCGUUUAUUAUGACACACAUCAUCAUUGUCAUAUUGCUUUGCAUGAUCAUGUAGUUGACAUCGUAUUUGUGGCAAAGCCACCGUUCAUAAUUUUUCAUACAUGUCACACUUGAUUCAUCGCAAUCCCGGUACACCGCCGGAGGCAUUCAUAUAGAGUCAUAUCUUGUUCUAAGUAUCGAGUUCUAAUUAUUGAGUUUUAAGUAAAUAGAAGUGUGAUGAUCAUCAUUAAUAGAACAUUGUCCCAAAAAAAAUAUAAAAAUAAAAAGAAAGGCCAAAAAAAGAAAGGCCAAAUAAAAAAUAGAAAAAAAGAGAUAGGCCAAAAAAAGAAAGGCCAAAUAAAAAAUAAAAAAAUAAAAGGGGCAAUGCUACUAUCCUUUUUUCCACACUUGUGCUUCAAAGUAGCACCAUGAUCUUCAUGAUAGAGAGUCUCUUGUUUUGUCACUUUCAUUUACUAGUGGGAAAUUUUCAUUAUAGAACUUGGCUUGUAUAUUCCAACAAUGGGCCUCCUCAAGUGUCCUAGGUCUUCGUGAGCAAGCAAGUUGGAUGCACACCCACUCUGUUUCUUUUGUUGAGCUUUCAUACAUUUAUAGCUCUAGUGCAUCCGUUGCAUGGCAAUCCCUACUCCUUGCAUUGACAUCAAUUGAUGGGCAUCUCCCUAGCCCAUUGAUUAGCCGCGUUGAGGUGAGACUUUCUCCUUUUUGUCUUCUCCACAUAACCCCCUCAUUACAUUCUAUUUCACCCAUAGUGCUAUAUUCAUGGCUCACGCUCAUGUAUUGCGUGAAAGUUGAAAAAGGUUUGAGAUUACUAAAGUAUGAAACAAUUACUUGGCUUGUCAUCGGGGUUGUGCAUGAUGAGAGCAUUCUUGUGUGACAAAAAUGGAGCAUGACCAAACUAUAUGAUUUUGUAGGGAUGAACUUUCUUUGGCCAUGUUAUUUUGAGAAGACAUGAUUGCUUAGUUAGUAUGCUUGAAGUAUUAUUAUUUUUAUGUCAAUAUUAAACUUUUGUCUUGAAUCUUAUGGAUCUGAACAUUCAUGCCAAAAUGAAGAGAAUUACUUAGAGAAAUAUGUUAGCUAGCAUUCCACAUCAAAAAAUUUGUUUUUAUCAUUUAUCUACUCGAGGACGAGCAGGAAUUAAGCUUGGGGAUGCUGAUACGUCUCCAACGUAUCUAUAAUUUUUGAUCGUUCCAUGCUAUUAUAUUAUCAACUUUGGAUGUUUAUGGGCUUUAUUAUGCAUUUUUAUAUUAUUUUUGGGACUAACCUAUUAACCCAGAGCCUAGUGCGAGUUUCUGUUUUUUCCUUGUUUUAGAGUAUCGCAGAAAAGGAAAAUCAAACGGAGUCCAAUUGACCUGAAACUUCACGGAAUUUAUUUUUGGACCAGAAGAAGCCCACGGAGUAUCGGAGUUGGGCUAGGAGAGUCCCGGGCUGCCCACGAGGGUGGGGGGCGCGCCUACCCCCCUGGGCACGCCCCCUGCCUCGUGGACAGCCCGGAGGUCCACCGACGUACUUCUUCCUCACAUAUAUACCCAUAUACCCUUAAAACUUCGGGGAGCACAAUAGAUCGGGAGUUCCGCCGCCAGAAGCCUCCGUUGCCACCGAAAACCAAUCUAGACCCGUUCCGGCACCCUGCCGAAGGGGGAAUCCCUCUCCGGUGGCCAUCUUCAUCAUCCCAGCGCUCUCCAUGACGAGGAGGGAGUAGUUCUCCCUCGGGGCUGAGGGUAUGUACCAGUAGCUAUGUGUUUGAUCUCUCUCUCUCUCUCUCUCUCUCUCUCUCUCUCGUGUUCUUGAUUUGGCAUGAUCUUGAUGUAUCGCGAGCUUUGCUAUUAUAGUUGGAUCUUAUGUUUCUCCUCCCCCUCGACUCUCUUGUAAUGGAUUGAGUUUCCCCUUUGAAGUUAUCUUAUCGGAUUGAGUCUUUAAAGAUUUGAGAACACUUGAUGUAUGUCUUGCCGUGCGUAUCUGUGGUGACAAUGGGAUAUCACGUGAUUCACUUGAUGUAUAUUUGGGUGACCAACUUGCGGGUUCCGCCCAUGAACUUAUGCAUAGGGAUUGGCACACAUUUUCGUCGUGAUUCUCCGGUAUAAACUUUGGGGCACUCUUUGAGGUUCUAUGUGUUGGUUGAAUAGAUGAAUAUGAGAUUGUGUGAUGCAUAUCGUAUAAUCAUACCCACGAAUACUUGAGGUGAUAUUGGAGUAUCUAGGUGACAUUAGGGUUUUGGUUGAUUUGUGUCUUUAGGUGUUAUUCUAGUACGAACUCUAGGGCUAUUUGUGACACUUAUAGGAAUAGCCCAACGGAUUGAUUGGAAAGAAUAACUUUGAGGUGGUUUCGUACCCUACCAUAAUCUCUUCGUUUGUUCUCCACUAUUAGUGACUUUGAAGUGACUCUUUGUUGCAUGUUGAAGGAUAGUUAUGUAAUCCAAUUAUGUUAUUAUUGUUGAGAGAAUUUGCACUAGUGAAAGUAUGAACCCCAGGCCUUGUUUCCUAGCAUUGCAAUACCGUUUGUGCUCACUUUUAUCAUUAGUUACCUUGUUGUUUUUAUAUUUUCAGAUUACAGAAACCUUUAUCUACCAUCCAUAUUACACUUGUAUCACCAUCUCUUCACCGAACUAGUGCACCUAUACAAUUUACCAUUGUAUUGGGUGUGUUGGGGACACAAGAGACUCUUUAUUAUUUGGUUUCAGGGUUGCUUGAGAGAGACCAUCUUCAUUCCACGCCUCCUACAGAUUGAUAAACCGUAGGCCAUCCACUUGAGGAAAAUUUGUUACUGUCCUACAAACCUCUGCACUUGGAGGCCCAACAACGUCUACAAGAAGAAGGUUGUGUAGUAGACAUCAGUACACCUCACAGAACACUUGGAAAUUGCAAAUGUUAGAUACAGAGUUGGGACCAAUAUCUUGAGGUCGGAGAUCGAAAAAGUGCAGGACAUCUCUGAAAAACUUUGAGCCAGGUGGAGAAAAGCCCCGGUUCAUGUGAUCAGUAAAGACGAUGACUUCCUCCUCUUUGGGUUGAGGUUUUUCCUUUGUUGGAUCAGGAGCACGAUAGGACAUGAGUUCCUUCUUUGGCAGAUAGCCGGUCUUCACAAAAUCAGCAAGGGUGUUUUCUAUGACGAUGGAUUUGACCCAAUUGCAUGUAACGGGUGAUUUGGGCGCUUUCGGCGGCAUUUUAAAGAUGGAAGCCUACGACAAAAUAAAAAUUUCCGGUUCAAAUUUAAGCCGGAGAGAAAUACUUCAAAUCAUACUCAAGAUGGUGGCUUAUAAGAGGGGCCUAAUGGCGUAUGGCUAGUUAUGUCAGAUUGUUUAAGCCGCCAUGAGCAGUUACAGUUAUUUAAGCCACCAGGUGUGGUUGAAGUUAUUUAUUGAGCAUCUCAAAUUAAAGCCAGUGGUGUGAGUCGCCAUGACCAGGUGGGUCUAACAAAUAUAGAUUUUGCCUAAGUGUUGUAGAAACAAGUUUUACAGAUUGCAGCUAUUAUUUUGGAUCAAACGGCUAUUCAGAAAGAAAAUAUUCUAGACCUAAAAAUCUAGUGCAGAUGAGCUCGUGAGUUCUGAUGAGGCCUCUGAACUAGAAAAAGGGAUCUACUAGCAUUUGAAAUGGAUGCGAAACAACUACCGCAUGUGUUUAGUACUUUUUGGCUCAGAAGAGGCUGCGGUGGAGGAACUACGAAAAAACUAUGAUGAACUAUGAAGAACACAGAGGAACUUGAAAACCCUAAUGCGGAUCUGAGGUGCGGGAAGGCGAAGACUUACGGCUGCAGAUCUACUGCGGAGGGUCGCUGCCGUUCUCUGGUCUGAUUCAGGUUGAUGCAACGGCCGAGGUCGAGGAAGACGAGGUGCUCUGCGGCAGCGGCGGAGCUCGAGUGACAGUAGGGUUGCGAGAGGAAAAAGAUGAAGAAAGGGGAGAAUGAGGAAAGACCUGGUCGUGCCUAUUUAUAAGGAAAGGCUGGUAAGUGGGCGCAAAAAACGAGGAAGCCAAAAACAUGAUUAUCCAACUGCAAAGACGCCUCGAUUUUCAGGAUGGUCAUUAAGAUAAAAGAUCCGUUGAGAUACGUUUGGCAAAACAUGCACUAAUGAUAGAUGACGUCAUGGCGGGUCACCAUAAAUCAGCACCUGAGCCGAAAUAGAUUUGUUCCUCUUCAAAAGAAAGUCUCAGCUUACAAGAUGUCAAACAAGAGGAGCCGACGGUGCCAUUGGCCAAGCAAGUAGAAAAUGGCUAGGGAGUUACAUAUAUGUACGUAAUUGUAUUACUCUUAUCUACUCCCAUAUAUAAUGGUCGCUUAGAGCAUCUACAGACGGUUCAUUUAAAUCCUUUGCAAAUGUUCGGGCGGACAGUGCGGCCAUUGUCCGGAGAAAAGAGAGAAGGGAAAGAUGAUUCACCUGUACCCUUCACCUUGUCCCCAUAUGCCCAGGUAGUUCGAACACCCUCAUAUCGAGACCAUGUAUGGGAAGGAUAUGAGGAUAUCCAGGUGCAUUCGGACAGUGUGCCAUCUAGGAGGAGCCGGGUUACGCUAUAUCGAUUCAUCAUAUGAAGCCCAAUAUCAAGCUUGAAGAUGACGGUUCAGUUAAGAGCCCCAAGCCCAAAGGCGACUUAAGGCCCGUAGUGAUAAACCAUCAUAAUAGCAUGACUUAUAUUGUAAGGCAAGAUUAACUAGUCACCGAGCCGGACACUGUUUAUGAGCCGGCCGGGACUCUGUAGGCAGCGAUGCGUCAACCCGUGUAUAUAAGGGGACGACCCGCCGGCGGCUUAGGGCAAGUAACAUCAAAUCGAGAGCCAGGCGUAGCGGAUUCGCUCCUUGGUCAUCGAAACCCUAGCAAUUCCACCUCAACUGAAUUAGACUUUUACCUUCACCGCAAGGGGCCGAACCAGUAUAACCCGCGUGUCCUUUGUCCCGCUUUAACCCCUUUAAGCUUCCUAGUUGCGAUGGCUCCACGUCUAAGUCCUUUCACAAGGACAUCUGCCGUGACAAUUCCACGACAGUUUGGCCCACCUUGAUCAUCUUUUCUCUUUCAUUCUUCAUUCUUUCUUUUCUUUCUCUUUUUUCAUCUCCACCAAUCAAAUGCAUGUGACUCGACAUAUAAUAGGAAUGAAGCAUGACUGCACGCACAAACAAAUAGGGCUCAAAAUUGACACGACCAAAAACUGACCGGACACUUCCGCAGACAUUCGAAUGGCCAAAUUUUCCCAAACGGCUCCCUAAGCCCAUAUGCAAUGCAUAUGGCACCACUUGAGCCAAAAGAAGGGUUAACAUGGAAAACCGAGCCUGAAUGCUUAAUUGCUUAUCCAAUGGAGGUUUUGGGAGAUGUGGAUGGGUGUGUAACAUCAGUUUAACUAGUUGAGCGAGCUAAGCGACAGUUCGCUGGUCGUGAUGGUCCAGAACGUGAGUAUUCUAUUUCUACAGGGCCAAGUGAUGACUGUUUAGUAGUGCAACUGGCCGUUCAAACUUCAAAAUGGACCAUAUUUUAACGUCCGUGCAAAUUUUCAUCUCCAAAAGAUAAAUCGUUGCACGUACGCACGGCCCGGUUGCUUGAUUGCUUCCUGGCUAGUAGGAGCAUAAGUAAACAUGUCUUUGGUGCAAGUUGGCCGGCAGAGACGUCACUUGCUUGGCAGGUUAGUUUGAUUCCAGUGCUUGAAGCUCCAUUCGCCAGUUCAGUCAACCGUCGAUUACAAAAGGGAGCACCAGCACGCGUGAAAGCAUCCCCCAUCGGUUCUAGUGAUGCAUGAAUCUUUGCGUUUAUCUUCCUUGAGGAUACCAAAGAGUUGAGUUCUUAGGCUCCUCCCAAUGCUCCACCGUGGACAGGUGCUAAGCAUUGCCACAUAAGCGAAAAAAUGACAUGGCACUACAUUUAAGAUGGAGAGAGAGUACUUUGAUGACCCCAGGAAGAACCAAUGCUAAGCGCAAAAACCUAGGCAAACCACUUAAAUGAAACAAUUUGACCAAUACAUGAAAGACUUUAGGUGCUAACUCAUUAAAUAAUGUGUGCUUAGCAACAACAAGCUAAGCACCUAUGCAUUGGGGUGUUGAGUUGCUAAGAUAUUUAAUGCACUUAGCACCUCAUCUAAGCACCUUUGCAUUGAAAGAGGUCUUAUCCGUGGACAGUGCAAUGGCCAAUGGUGAGUGAGUGAUGUUUAAAGUAAGUUUGAUAAGAGCAUCUACAACCGGGCACCACAAACCCUCCUCAUAUGUCCCCGUAUGGUGCGCUAGUUCGGGCGUCGCAACGGUGUCGUGGUGGAUAUCACUGGCGCCUCCCAGGACGGAUCCAUCAUCGAUCUCACGUCCACCGGUACCGUUAGGGUUUCGGGCUCCGACGAGGAAGAGUAGGUCAUGGGAGAUAGCGGCGCCUUGAGUCCUUUGAGCCGGGUUGUGCCCCAAGUCCUACUCUACUUUGUCGGUGACCGGACCAACACUCUGAGGGGUUCAGACGGCCGUCGAAUAUGGGCAUGACAGAGCCGGACAAGCUCCGCUUAAGAUUAGGUUUACGUUGCAUGUAAUAGUAUGGAUUCGUGAUUUCUAAUUUGAGAUGUUCGGUUGUGGAAUCAAUUAUUUGAGAUGUGACCGAUCACUGUCCGCGGAUGCGCACGGGCGUGUCCGCGGACGUUUGAGAGGUCAGAUUUGCCAAGUCCGGUUGUAGAUGCUCUAAGGGGGUUAUAGUCGCAAAUUGCUAAUAGAGCUUAGGCUCCAUGGAGCAAGAAUUCAAAAAAAAUAACUUAAAAAUCAACUUCUAAAGUUUUUUUUAAAACAUUUACGUGUCUGUAAAUUUUCAUGAUUAAAUACAUUCUGGCAUGAGCUGUACAAAAUAAACAAAACCUUGGUCCAUAGACAAACAACUCUAUGCAUAUUGACGGUGCCGAGUCAGUAUGUGGGACUACACAAGUUUGAGCAUCUCACAGCACCUGAAAAACAGUCGGCGCCAUCGGUCGGAAGUCGGAACACGAACUAGCUACUGCCCUCUACUCACAAGGCAGGAAACACCGCACCACGGCCACGCCAUCUUAGACUCAUUGUUGUGACAGCCAUUGCGAUUCUGACCAUGCUAGCCUAGAGCACAAUGUCGAGCGAGUCAUGCUAGCAUGCCUUUGAAAUGCCGCCUCUAUGACCAUCUCGAGAACCAUCGUGCAGGAUUCCGAGCUUUCCGCGCGUUUUGUUCGACCUUGGCCCUAGCAAGGCAACCCUAGAUUCAAGCACAAAGUCCGAAUUCAACAAGCCUAGCAAAGGCGAUAGUUUCUACCUCGAAAAUGCUAGACUUACGUUAGGUUGUUACGUGACCUACGUAAAACUUCAUUUCCCUCUAUCCAAACGCCCCACCUCCUGAAUUUCAGGGUGAGCCCUAGCUCCACUAAUGUCCUAUUAAAGACUGUCAAAUCAACCCAUAUGUAUGCUACAUAAAAACAUCUUUGUAGAUGUAGCAUUGCUCACUUCUAUCCCCAUUACCCACAGCCCCACCCACAGCCACAACCCACACACCCCAUCAAGGCACCAACGGGCUGCGACACCAUAGGGUACAUUAGGGUUUUGCCCUACAGUCUCCUGUGGGGACGACUUAUCUGAGGUCAGCGGUGUGGAUUUAACUAAUUAUUUAGCACGGUGAGCUGGUUGCUACUCCUUUCAUUUUAAAAUAGAUGACUCAACUUUAUAAUAACUUUAUACUAAAAUUAAUACAAAGUUGAGUCAUCUUUUUGAAACGAAGGGAGUACUAGGUAGUUUUGACUUUUCUGAUCUUCAUCAUACAACUUUAACUAUGAUUUUCAGGUAUUGCAUGUCUGCUAAAUUAAUACAUGAAAUACAACUGUUUUGGAAGACAAAUGUGAUGAUAUCGGUUAUACAUAUUUAAUCCAUGCAUUUUUAUAUGUAACGUUGUGCACCAAAUACCGUUUAAAGUCAAGCGCGUCUUACAUUUUGGAAGGAGGGAGUACGACAUGAAUAUUAGAAUAUAUACAAACAAAACUUAGCUAUGGUCCUAUGGAUAUGACAGUACGACGUGUACGGAACAGCAGAAUAAUUCAUUUUCAGUUCCAUCAAGCUCAUGCCGACUUACCUUAGAGCAUCUCCAGCCGCUGACUCUCAGGAGGGGCUAAAAAUCGCCCCCGGGAUGCACCGGCGCUAAACCGCGCACUGGGGGCGAGAUGCUCCCCAGUCACGGCGCCCACGUUUCUUUGAAAAAGACAAAUACGGCGCAAACACGGCUCAAAUUUAUCGCAAACAUCGACGAGUUCGUUCAAAUUUAAACGUAUUUUACAAAAAAAAAA